rnacentral:misc_RNA from 1 species
AUGACAGAUUUCCUCAUUGCUUUUGGCUCACAAACUGGGCAAGCGGAAACUAUCGCUAAAAGUUUAAAGGAAAAAGCAGAGUUAAUCGGAUUAACGCCAAGACUUCACGCUCUGGAUGAAAAUGAGAAGAAAUUCAAUUUAAAUGAAGAAAAACUGUGUGCAAUUGUCGUUUCAUCAACUGGCGAUGGAGAUGCACCGGAUAAUUGUGCACGUUUCGUGAGAAGAAUUAAUAGAAAUUCACUGGAAAACGAAUAUUUGAAGAAUCUGGAUUACGUUCUUCUCGGUCUCGGCGAUUCCAACUAUUCAUCUUAUCAAACGAUUCCUCGAAAAAUUGACAAACAACUGACAGCUCUCGGUGCAAAUCGUCUUUUUGAUCGUGCAGAAGCAGACGAUCAAACUUGAACUAGAAGUUGAACCAUGGAUCGAGAAAUUCUUUGCAACACUGGCAUCCAGAUUCGACAUUUCCGCCGACAAAAUGAAUGCAAUUACGGAAUCAUCAAACUUGAAAUUGAAUCAAGUUAAGACUGAAGAAGAAAAGAAAGCGUUACUUCAGAAACGAAUAGAAGAUGAAGAAUCAGAUGAUGAAGGAAGAGGAAGAGUUAUUGGAAUUGAUAUGUUGAUUCCCGAGCAUUAUGAUUAUCCCGAAAUUUCUCUUUUAAAAGGAUCGCAAACCCUCUCGAACGAUGAAAAUUUGCGCGUUCCAAUUGCUCCUCAACCUUUCAUCGUCUCGUCGGUUUCUAAUCGAAAACUACCAGAAGAUACCAAAUUGGAAUGGCAAAACCUGUGCAAAAUGCCUGGAGUCGUCACGAAACCAUUCGAAGUUCUUGUAGUCUCUGCUGAAUUUGUGACUGAUCCAUUUUCCAAGAAAAUUAAAACGAAACGGAUGAUCACUGUCGAUUUCGGAGAUCAUGCUGCUGAACUUCAAUACGAGCCGGGAGAUGCCAUAUAUUUUUGUGUUCCAAAUCCAGCACUUGAAGUCAAUUUUAUCCUUAAAAGAUGCGGAGUUUUAGACAUUGCUGAUCAACAAUGCGAGCUUUCAAUUAACCCGAAAACUGAGAAAAUCAAUGCUCAAAUUCCGGGACACGUGCACAAAAUUACAACUCUCCGUCAUAUGUUCACCACGUGUCUAGACAUUCGUCGGGCUCCAGGAAGACCGCUGAUUCGUGUACUCGCCGAAAGUACAUCUGAUCCAAAUGAGAAAAGACGGCUUUUGGAGCUUUGCAGUGCUCAGGGAAUGAAGGAUUUCACCGAUUUUGUUAGAACACCCGGAUUGUCAUUGGCUGACAUGCUUUUCGCAUUUCCAAAUGUGAAGCCACCGGUUGAUAGACUAAUCGAACUUCUUCCACGGCUUAUCCCACGUCCGUACAGUAUGUCAUCAUAUGAAAACCGAAAAGCCCGUCUGAUCUAUUCGGAAAUGGAAUUCCCAGCAACAGAUGGACGUCGACAUUCGAGAAAAGGACUCGCAACUGAUUGGCUCAAUUCUUUGAGAAUUGGAGAUAAAGUUCAAGUUUUGGGAAAGGAACCGGCUAGAUUCAGACUUCCACCUCUUGGAAUGACAAAGAAUUCGGCUGGAAAACUGCCAUUAUUGAUGGUUGGACCAGGAACUGGAGUCUCGGUAUUUCUGUCAUUCCUGCAUUUUUUGAGAAAAUUGAAACAAGACUCUCCAUCGGACUUUGUCGAUGUUCCACGUGUUCUCUUCUUUGGAUGUCGUGAUUCUUCUGUAGAUGCAAUUUAUAUGAGCGAACUUGAAAUGUUUGUAAGCGAAGGCAUCCUCACUGAUCUAAUCAUCUGUGAAAGCGAGCAAAAGGGUGAAAGAGUUCAAGAUGGCUUAAGAAAAUAUCUCGACAAGGUUCUUCCAUUUUUGACAGCAUCGACAGAGUCGAAAAUUUUCAUCUGUGGAGACGCAAAAGGAAUGUCUAAAGAUGUUUGGCAAUGUUUCUCGGAUAUUGUUGCCAGUGAUCAAGGAAUUCCGGACUUGGAAGCGAAGAAGAAGCUUAUGGAUCUGAAAAAGAGUGAUCAAUACAUCGAGGAUGUGUGGGGAUAG